CAGUGCUGGACUACACCUGUUUCUGCACUGCCGAGCUUUACACAGAGCAAGCAGGGUGUUUUCUUACGUCUUCAGCCACUUUUUGACAGCACAAAGCUGGUGGAGUUGAAGCUCUAGCCUCAGACCAUCUGUGAGGGGCUGGAGUCUGAGCACUGGUGGGUGCUCAGCAAUGAAUUUUAUCAUUUGUUCCCAGAGUGCAAUGGAACAUCAAAGAGUGAGGCGGCCAUCUACCUCCACACUGACUCAGCGGAGUCGUCACUGCAGAAUGUUACACUGCUUAGAACUUCCUUGUGUACUUUUGUAGUUACAGUUAAAAGAUUGAAACAUAGUCUUUCUGUAAAAUUGUGUCCAAAUAUAGUUUUAUGCAUUUU